rfam:Candidatus Xiphinematobacter sp. Idaho Grape, complete genome.
GCCAGGAUAGCUCAGCGGUAGAGCAGGGGACUCAUAAGCCCUUGGCCGGGAGUUCGAUUCUCCCUCCUGGCA